CUAGAUAUGGAGACAUGGUCCCCAACACCAUCGCUGGCAAGAUCUUUGGUUCUAUCUGUUCCCUGAGCGGUGUGCUGGUGAUCGCUCUCCCAGUUCCUGUCAUUGUCUCCAAC
rfam:Scleropages formosus scaffold1534, whole genome shotgun sequence.